UACGUAGGGGGCAAGCGUUUGUCCGGAUUUAUUGGGCGUAAAGAGCUCGUAGGCGGUUCCGUAAGUCAGGUGUGAAAAAUCUGGGCUCAACCCAGUGGAGCACCUGAUACUGCGGUGACUCGAGUCCGGUAGGGGAGUGUGGAAUUCCUGGUGUAGCGGUGAAAUGCGCAGAUAUCAGGAGGAACACCAGUGGCGAAGGCGGUCGCUCUGGGCCGGACUGACGCUGAGGAGCGAAAGCUGGGGAGCAAACAGG
rnacentral:rRNA from 1 species